GCUGGGCAUGGUGGCUCACGCCUGUAAUUCCACUUACUUGGAGGCUGAGGCAGGAGGAUCACAAGUUCAAAGUCAGUCUCUG
rnacentral:sRNA from 1 species